UGGCUGGCGGAGGCCUGCACGCAGCCGCCGGAGGAGUUCGUGUGGGCUGUGGCCCUGCUGCUGCUGCAGCUGAGCGCGGCCCUGAAGUUCCUGGAGGCGUGGGGCGCGGCCCUAGUCGAGUUGCGGCCGGAGAACUUGCUGCUGGUGGCACCUCGGGGCUGUGCGACGACGGGGCCCCCACGCCUGCUCCUCACUGACUUUGGCCGCGUCUGUCUGCAGCCCCCUGGACCCCCGGGAUCCCCGGGCCCCCACGCGCCGCAGCUGGGCAGCCUCCUCCGAGCGCUGCUCAGCCUUGCUGCGCCCUCGACCACGCCUUUGGCCGCGGGCCUGGAGCUCCUGGCAGCACAGCUGACCCGCUUGCGGCCCUCGGCGUCCCGGACGCGGGGCGCGCUGCAGGCGCUGCUCUGGGGGCCCGGGCCUGAGCUGCGCGGCCGCGGAGCACCGCUUGGUCCCUGGCUCCGAGCGCUCGGGCCCUGGCUGCGGGUGCGCCGCGGGCUGCUGGUCCUGCGCCUAGCAGAGCGGGCCGCAGGUGGGGAAGCUCCCAGCCUCGAGGACUGGCUGUGUUGCGAAUACCUGGCCGAGGCCACCGAGUCCUCGAUGGGCCAGGCCCUGGCGCUGCUGUGGGACUGACCCCAACCCAGGGCGAACACACCUGGU
rnacentral:lncRNA from 1 species